rnacentral:rRNA from 1 species
GUGGGGAAUAUUGGACAAUGGGCGAAAGCCUGAUCCAGCCAUGCCGCGUGUGUGAAGAAGGUCUUCGGAUUGUAAAGCACUUUAAGUUGGGAGGAAGGGCAGUAAGUUAAUACCUUGCUGUUUUGACGUUACCGACAGAAUAAGCACCGGCUAACUUCGUGCCAGCAGCCGCGGUAAUACGAAGGGUGCAAGCGUUAAUCGGAAUUACUGGGCGUAAAGCGCGCGUAGGUGGUUUUGUAAGUUGGAAGUGAAAUCCCCGGGCUCAACCUGGGAACUGCCUGCAAAACUGCAUGGCUCGAGUACGAUAGAGGGUAGUGGAAUUUCCUGUGUAGCGGUGAAAUGCGUAGAUAUAGGAAGGAACACCAGUGGCGAAGGCGACUACCUGGACUGAUACUGACACUGAGGUGCGAAAGCGUGGGGAGCAAACAGGAUUAGAUACCCCGGUAGUCC